GGCUGGUCCGAUGGUAGUGGGUUAUCAGAACUUAUUAACACUAGGAUCACUAAAGUUGGUAUUCUACCUCCCCACUGCUGAAUUUGACUGGCUUAAA
rnacentral:Y_RNA from 1 species